CAGAGAAGUGCAAAGGACAGUGCUGGGGACAGGAGGGGCCCGUGUCUUGUGCCCAAAGUCCUCGGGGAGAAGCCAGCCACUACCAUCUCCAGCUACCCCUCCACCCCACCCAGUCCCCAGGAAGCCCGGAAGUCUGUUUUCUCCAGGGUGCAGUGAGUAGGAGGACUGAGAGAGGCCUGGAGCCCCUCAGCUGCUGCUGCUGCUUUCAUCCCGAUGCUGCCUUGACCUCCUAGCUCGGCUGAACACCCAUCAGAGCCCGAGCCUGAGCUUGGGUAUGGGGUUGUUGCUCCUGGAGUCUUUGCACCGCCCUCAGCCGCCCCACGCCGCGGCUCCCCUUCCUUACAGAAUGGUGCAGAAGACGCUACGAUUGCUGUGGUAACCACCUUCCACGCGGGCAGUGAUCCUGGUCGCCAUGGCCGUCACCUUCUGUCCACUGUGGGCUGUAGAGGGGCCUCGGAGAGAACUUUCAAGGUGUAUGACCUGCGUGUAUACAGAAGCUUUAGUCAUAAUCACCUAAAAUUAGGAACUACAUACCCUUCAGCUGACAAAUGGAUAAACAGUGUGGUCCACCCAUACAACGGAACGCCACUUGGCAACAAAAAGAAUGAACAUGUGACACCACGGACAAAUCUCAGGUGCAUUAGGCUAAGUGAGAGCAGCCAGGCUCCAAAGACUACAUACCAUGCGAUUUCCUUAAAUGACAUUUUGGAAACUGCUAUAGGGGACAGGAAUGGGUAGGUUUCCAGUCCCUCAGGCUCUUACAGAGAUUUUGAAGGGUCAGGGAAAGCUUUGGUCGGGGCUGUCAUUUGAGUUACAAGGGACCACCUCUUACCCCAAAUCCUAAGUUGCUUAAGCCAGUAACCAUAUAUUCUGUGCAUUUUUAUGGUGAUUCUGUAACAAUGAGUAGGACUGUAAAGGUGUGGAUGGUGAGGAGCUAGCUACUGUGUUCAAAGAUUUGCCAGCAUUUGAGUCUGGCAGCAGACAGCAAGCUUGGACAGGAAAAUCAGGACUCAACAGUGCAUGGUGGAUGAUGCAGGCUGCCAGGUCUGUGCUAUCUGUAUCCUGGGAUCUCCAAAGGGACAGGAGGAAGCAGACCCCAGGGAGUCCACGAUAUGAUCUGCUGGGAUCAUAUCUGCUUUUCUGUCCAGAAAAGAUUAGAAUUCCUACUUUUUUUUUAUAAGUUAUGACUGUAUAAAACAUAUAUGAGGUUUCCUCAAUAUUUUUGCUGAGCAUGUGUAGAAUUAAAAAAGGAAUAGAGAUCAUUACUACAGGAAAAGGGGACCCAUCAAAGGUUUCUGACCAGGGCUGUGACAUGAGCAGAGCUGAUUUAGACGGAUGCAUCUGGCAGCCAGGGCUGUCACCAGUGUGAGAGGAAUGUGGCAGCGGUGGUAUAACAGUUAUUACCUGUAUAACCAGUGUAGCAAAGCACCAACCAAGCAGAACAGAGUCCAUCCAUUCACCAGCAGAACAGCACCUUGGCAACAGGGGCCAGAGGUCAGGGUGAAGGGUGCUGAGAUGUGAGCAGGGGUGAUGGCAGUUGGGGAGAAAAGGUGCCAGAUACAGGCACAUUUCAGAAGCGGAAUCAAGAGGACCUAGUAAUGACUGACUGAACUCUGAUGUUAGGGAGAAAUCGGUCACAGAGGUUUUGCUGCCAGGAUAGAUCAGAGGGUGAGGUCACUGAAAUGGGGAGCAGGGAGGGACAGGGAGGUUCAGGGAAGAUAAGUGUGACGCAGUUGUACACAGAGGCAGAGGUAUCAUAAAUAAGUGACAGCAGCAGCAAUGAACGUCUUUGUAAUACCUCAGAUCUUGUGCUAGGUCGCAUGAUUUGACUGUAUCUUAAAUUGGUGCUACAAAGCAGACCUUGUUAACUGGAUUUUACUAAGACUCAAGGUGUUGAGUGCCUUGCGCAAGAAACUGGCAGAGCUGAGAUUUAAAAUCACACCCCCCUGACUCUUAAAGCCUGUUCUCUCCCAAGGAGGCAGAUGCAGGUCCUCAGCACCGGCCUGACUAAAGUCGAAGCACGGGCCUUUAUCUGACCAGAGCCAGAAGCUGGCAGGACUGCAGGGAGCAAGGACAGCCAGCAUCACUGGGCCUGGCUUCUCUAGUCGCCUCCCUGUGGUUCUAGAAGAUUGGUUUAGGCAGAUCCCAGACACUUACUUUUU